ensembl:misc_RNA Metazoa_SRP Metazoan signal recognition particle RNA
GCCAGGCAUGGUGGCCUGUGCCUAUAGUCCCAGCUGCUUGGGAGGCUGAGGCAGAAGGAUUGCUUGAGCCUGGGAAGUCAAGGCUUAUAGUGAGCCAUGAUAAUGCCACUGCACUCUAGCCUAGGCAACAGAGCAAGACUCUGUCUCAA